GACAGAGGAUGCAAGCGUUAUCCGGAAUGAUUGGGAGUAAAGCGUCUGUAGGUGGCUUUUCAAGUCCGCCAUCAAAUCCCAGGGCUCAACCCUGGACAGGCGGUGGAAACUACCAAGUUGGAGUACGGUAGGGGCAGAGGGAAUUUUCGGUGGAGUGGUGAAAUGCAUUGAGAUCGGAAAGAACACCAACGGCGAAAGCACUCUGCUGGGCCAACACUGACACUGAGAGAUGAAAGCUAGGGGAGCAAAUGGG
rnacentral:rRNA from 1 species